CCUACGGGCGGCAGCAGUGGGGGAUAUUGCACAAUGGGGGAAACCCUGAUGCAGCGACGCCGCGUGUGGGAAGACGGUCCUCUGGAUUGUAAACCACUGUCCCCAGGGACGAAGAUGACGGUACCUUGGGAGGAAGCUCCGGCUAACUACGUGCCAGCAGCCGCGGUAAUACGUAGGGAGCGAGCGUUGUCCGGAAUUACUGGGUGUAAGGGGAGCGUAGGCGGGACUGCAAGUUGGGGGUCAAAUCUACCGGCGAAACCGGUAGCCGCACUCAAAACUGCAGUUCUUGAGUGAAGUAGAGGCAGGCGGAAUUCCUAGUGUAGCGGUGAAAUGCGUAGAUAUUAGGAGGAACACCAGUGGCGAAGGCGGCCUGCUGGGCUUUUACUGACGCUGAGGCUCGAAAGUGUGGGGAGCAAACAGGAUUAGAUACCCCAGUAGUC
rnacentral:rRNA from 1 species